CCUACGGGUGGCAGCAGUAGGGAAUUUUCGGCAAUGGGCGAAAGCCUGACCGAGCAACGCCGCGUGAACGAAGAAGGUCUUCUGAUUGUAAAGUUCUGUUAUAGAGGAAGAACGGUGUACGUAGGAAAUGACUUACAAGUUACGGUACUCUGUGAGAAAGCCACGGCUAACUACGUUCCAGCCGCCGCGGUAAUACGUAGGUGGCGAGCGUUAUCCGGAAUCAUUGGGCGUAAAGAGGGAGCCGGCGGCCUGGAGGGUCUAUUGUUAAAAGGCAGUGGCUUAACCAUUGCAAGGCGAAGAAACCGGCAGGCUAGAGUGCUAAAGAGGAUCGUGGAAUUCCAUGUGUAGCGGUGAAAUGCGUAGAUAUAUGGAGGAACACCAGUGGCGAAGGCGACGAUCUGGGAAGAAACAGACGCUGAGUCCCGAAAGCGUGGGGAGCAAAUAGGAUUAGAUACCCUUGUAGUC
rnacentral:rRNA from 1 species